AGUCGAGCGCGGGCAGCAAUGCCCGAGCGGCGAACGGGUGAGUAACGCGUGAACAAUCCGCCCAAAAGUGGGGGAUAACCAUCCCAACGGAUGGCUAAUACCGCAUAGGGUACGGGAAGGGCAUCCUUCCCCUACGAAAGCAUUCAUGCGCUUUUGGAUGAGUUCGCGUCCCAUUAGCUAGUUGGCGGGGUAACGGCCCACCAAGGCGACGAUGGGUAGCCGGCCUGAGAGGGUGUCCGGCCACAUUGGGACUGAGAUACGGCCCAGACUCCUACGGGAGGCAGCAGUAGGGAAUUUUGCGCAAUGGGGGAAACCCUGACGCAGCAACGCCAUGUGUGGGAUGAAGCAUUUCGGUGUGUAAACCACUGUCGGCAGGGAAUAAAGCCCGCGCACGUCGCGGGGGUGAAUGUACCUGCAGAGGAAGCCCCGGCUAACUUCGUGCCAGCAGCCGCGGUAAUACGAGGGGGGCAAGUGUUGUUCGGAAUCACUGGGCGUAAAGGGAGCGUAGGCGGACUCUUAAGUUGGAUGUUUAAAACCGGGGCCCAACCCCGGCGCGGCAUCCAAAACUGGGAGUCUUGAAUGGAAGAGAGGCCGGUGGAAUUGGAGGUGUAGCGGUGGAAUGCGUAGAGAUCUCCAAGAACACCCGUUGCGAAGGCGGCCGGCUGGCUUCACAUUGACGCUGAGGCUCGAAAGCGUGGGGAGCAAACAGGAUUAGAUACCCU
rnacentral:rRNA from 1 species